rnacentral:rRNA from 1 species
GAUGAACGCUGGCGGUAUGCCUAACACAUGCAAGUCGUACGAGAGUUUUUAACUCUAGUGGCGGACGGGUGAGUAACACGUGAGAAUUUGCCUUUAGGAGGGGGACAACAAUUGGAAACGAAUGCUAAUACCCCAUAUGCUUUCGAGUGAAAUGGAUUUUAUCCGCCUAGAGAGAAGCUCGCGGCUGAUUAGCUAGUUGGUGAGGUAACGGCUCACCAAGGCUACGAUAGCUAGGGGGCGUGAGAGCGUGGCCCCCCACACGGGUACUGAGACACGGACCCGACUCCUACGGGAGGCAGCAGUAAGGAAUAUUGGACAAUGGUCGAAAGACUGAUCCAGCCAUCCCGCGUGCAGGAUGACUGCCCUAUGGGUUGUAAACUGCUUUUAUAUGGGAAGAAUAGCAUAGAUUCAUCUGUGUAUGACGGUACCAUAUGAAUAAGCACCGGCUAACUCCGUG